CACAGCGCCCCGGGGCUCGGAAUGGGGGCGGAGCCAGAACAGGGAGCGUGACCUGAUUGGAGGCGGUCACAGAAAGGGGGCGGGGACAACGGUGUGGGAGCGCGACUGAACUCGGGGGCGGUUAGCGCUGUGAAGCGAGCGGGGGUUAACUACGAGGUGGGCGGGACACGGCGAAGGGGCCGCGCAGAGCAGCGGUGGUGCUGACGGUUCGCAGCAGCACGACGAGCUGCCCGCUCUGCCGCCGGAUUCCUUCUCCAACAAAAGAGUCCACGUGGUGUUACCCGGCAGAGCAGCCCAUUGCUGCCAUCCAACUGCUCGGCCCUGCCUGCUGCUUAACGUCUUUUCGGUUAUUUGACUUUCAGAUGACAAUUUCCUGCUCUCCAGCGGCCUCCUCCCGAGCCCCUCCUCCUCCCCAUUCAAACAGACCUCCGUCUCACAGCGGUUCUGAACGCUCCCAAUUGUUUCCCUGUUCUCUAAUCGCCGCUUACUUUCUGACAGAUUCUGCAUUCGUACCCGCAAUUUAUUUACCCGAGCUUUACAAAAUAAACAACCGGGCACACA